CAAUUGGUUCUCGUAACAGAGAUUAAUAGGGAAUCAGGUGAGAAUCCUGAACAGUCCCGCUGCUGUGUGCGGAUGUUCUCUGGUAAGCAAAUGUCACUGAGCAGAUAAUACACUUGGGAAGACGCUUAUCGGAAAGCCGCAAAGUCAGAAGACCUGCCAUUGUCGU
rnacentral:ncRNA from 1 species